GGGCCAUAGCUCAGUGGAAGAGCACCUACUUUUCACGCAGAAGGUCCCAGGUUCGGUCUCUGGCAUCUCCA